rnacentral:rRNA from 1 species
UACCAGCACCCCGAGUGGUCGGGACGUUUAUUGGGCCUAAAGCAUCCGUAGCCGGUGCUACAAGUCUUCCGUUAAAUCCAACUGCUUAACAGGUGGGCUGCGGAAGAUACUAUAGAGCUAGGAGGCGGGAGAGGCAAGCGGUACUCGAUGGGUAGGGGUAAAAUCCGUUGAUCCGUUGAAGACCACCAGUGGCGAAGGCGGCUUGCCAGAACGCGCUCGACGGUGAGGGAUGAAAGCUGGGGGAGCAAACCGG